UUAAAAUAUCGGCUCCCGUACGAUCACCGUAGUUAAGUAACCUCAUUCCUAUUUAGUACCUAGAUGGGUGACCACUUGGGAAUACCAGGUACUGG